UUUCUGAUAGUUCUUGAACCUGCCCUGUUAUUCCUUCCCUCUGGGAGAUCAUCACAUGUGCCGUUCUUUUUGCCUAUAUUGUCGUCCAUCCUGGCCAGCUCAGAAGGCAUCCAUGCAAUGUGCUCUGGACGAUGGAGUUCACCCUCACUUCUGAAUAACCAGUAGCUCAGCUCCUAAAGGAGCGCUGAGUGCUCAGCUUGUUGCCUUAAAAUAGCUUCUUAUUAAAAAAAAAAAAUACACUCUCAGAUUCAAUAUGUAAUAGGCAGAAAUAGGAUUUGGACUUAAUGUUUUUAUUUUUUGUUUUAUUCUAUUUAUUUAUUUUUGGUAUCCAGGAAUCGAACCCAGGGAGGCUUAAUAACUGAGCCAUAUCCCCAGCCCUUUUUAUAUUUUAUUUUGAGAUAGUGCCUUGUUAAGUUACUUUGGGCCUUGCUAAAUUGCUGAGGCUGGCUUUGAACUUGUGAUCCUUCUGCUUCAGCCUCUGGAGUUACUGGGAUUACAGGUGUAUGCCACCAUGCCUGGCUAAUUUUUUUUUUUUUUUUAAAGACAAUCUUCAAAUUAAUCUGAAGUAAUGCAAAGGUAAUUUUCACUAGUUUAUAUCACUCAUUUGACAAUUAAGCAUGUCCAACUAGGUUCCCUGUGUGUAAUCCCCUUUAUUAUUAUUUAAUUCUUUAUUCACUCAUACUCACCUAUUCAACAAAUGUUUAUUAAGGGAUUAUUAAGUGCCAGACAUUCUUGUAGGUGUUGGGGGUGGAUGAAACUAGCAUCGUCCUCGCUCAUGGAAUUUACAUUCCAGAAAGAUAUGGUAAGCAGAAUAAUGGCUCCCCCAAGAUGUCAACAUUCUGAUCCCCACAACCUGGGAAUGUGUUAUCUUAACUGGCAAAGGGAUUUUGUUAAUAUGAUAAAGUUAAGGAUCUUGAGAUGUGGAGCUUUUCCUGGAUUACUGGGGUCCUCAAUCACAAGGAAAGGUGGGAAGAAGACAGCCCCAAGUCAAGGCCCGUGGGCAGCCUCCAGAAGCUGCUGAAGGCAAGGAAACAGAUUCUCCCCCAGGGCCUCCAGAAGUAAGGCAACCUGACAGUCCCUUGAUUUUAGUCCAGUGAGACUCCUAUUUGUAUUUCUAACCUACAGGAUGAUAAAAGUUUGUGUUGUUUUAAGCCACUAUAUCUGUGGUAAUCUGUUAAAGCAGCAAGAGGAAAUGAGGCCAAGGAGUACUGGUUACCUAUUUUGUGCAGGUCUGUGAUGAGCCUCCCCAAGUAGACUUCAAGUAUUCCAUGGCCCAGCCCUGGUUACGCUUUGACUCUCCCGCCAGCUCCCAGCAUGAGCUGGGCCCACAGUGAGAGAUCAGGAUACUGCUGCAGAUUCAGGCUCUACUCGGGCAUCCUCUGAUUCCAAGUGUUGGGGGAUGUUUAGUGGGAUUUGGAGGAUGAGAAUUGUGAAGACAAAAGGAAAGGGGAACUUAAGUGAAGAUAAUGUGUUUGGGGUUAAAAGGUGACUUUGGUGUGUGGAGGAAUCUUCUGAAAUGUACAAAAAGUCUGUGGGAAGGGAUUGGUUGAUAGGAAUGUGGGUGGGA
rnacentral:lncRNA from 1 species